GAACUCCUGACUUCAAGUGAUUGGACUCCCAAAGUGCUGGAAUUACAGGCAUAAGCCACCAUGCCUGGCCUCCCCUAAUUUGCUUCUUUAAACCUCUCUACAUCAUCACAAGUUGGGUGUUACUAUGAUCACUAUUUUACAGGUCAGCCAAAGAGGAGCAAAGAGUCAUCUACCUCAAUCAUGUUCAGGAAAUGAUCAGGUCAAGAUGUGGAGUGAGCCAGCUUUUCUCUUUCGUGCCACAUUUUCUGACCCAGCAUUUCAAGGUACUUCUAAUACACAAAGACUAUUACAAGAGGGAGGAAAGAAGGAAGGUCAGUUAUCUGAAGAACUGAGGCUAGCUAGAAGCCCAAAUUUGGUGUGAUGGGGGCCAUCAAAUCUCAACAGAAACAGCUUUCUCUCUCUGUUAUCCUGGACAGGGCUUGUGAUUUUUUUUUUUCCUCCACUCAGCCAUAGACUCUCAGCUACAUAUCCUCUAGCCUGGAGUAGUCAAAUCAGCUCAUCUCUUUCUCUCUCAUACCAAACUUUCAAAAACAAAACAAAACAAACCAAAAAAACACUUUGUUAUUGGAAUAAAUGAGAAAAAUGUAUUUGUGUUUAAAUAUCUGUGAUACAUGGACCAUCAAAAGCCUCGCUGCUAAUGAAGGCAAUUAUUUAGGUUUACUUAAUCUAUUAACUUAUCAGUUAAUAACUGCUAUUUAUUCUGCUAGAAAUUCCCAAUGGUAUAAUUGUUUCUGGCUGUAGCUCCUUCCAUGCUUUGUACAUCUUACUUGUGGUAGGCAGAAUCACAGCUCUCCACAAAUGAUGUGAUUUGGCUGUAUCCCCACCCAAAUCUCACCUUGAAUUGUAAUAAUUCCAUGUGAAGAAUGGGAUCAGGUAGAGAGAAUUUAAUCAUGGGGAAGGUUUAUCCCAUGCUGUUCUUGUGGUAGUAAAUAAGUUUCACGAGAUCUGCUGGGUUUAUAAACGGGAGUUCUCCUGCACAAGCUCUCUUGCCUGCCACCACGUGGGAUGCAACAUUGCUUCUCAUUCGCUUUCCACCAUGAUUUUGAGGGCUCACCAGCCAUGUGGAACUAUAAGUCAGUUAAACCUCUUUCUUUUAUAAAUUACCCAGUCUCAGCUGUGUCUUUAUUAGCAGUGUGAGGACAAACUAAUACAACGGGUGUCCACAUUCUAGUCCCCAGAAUUUGUGAAUAUGUUAGUUGCAUGGCAAAGGAAAAUUGAAAUUGUAGACUAAACUAAGGUUGUUCGUCAGUUGAUAUUAAGAUAGGAAAGUUAUUCUGGAUUAUCCUGAUGGGACCAAAAUAAUCAGAAGGACAUUUACAAGUGGAAGGAGGCAGAAGAAGUUAGAGUGAUGAGAUGGGAACUCACAAACUGCCAUUGCUGGCCCUUUAAAAGAAUUUAAAUCUUGUUUUAUGACACAUAAUUAUUGUACAUAUUGAUGGGAUACAGUGUGAUGUUUCAACACGUGUAUGUAUAGUUUAAAUAUUGAAUCAGGAUAUUCAACAUAUUCUUCACUUCAUACAUCUUUGAUAUCUUUACGGUGAGAGAAUUCAAAAAUCCUCUCUUCUAGCUAUUUUGAAAUAUACAAUACAAUAUUGCUAACCAUAGUCACCCUGACUCCAUUCCUCAUUUUAAAAAUGGAGGAAGGGACAGUGAUCAAAGGAAUGCAAGCAGCCUCUGGGCUGUGGAAAACCAAAGGAAACAAACUCUUCCCACAGACCCCCCCCCAAGAAAAAACCAACCCUGGCAGUAUCUUGGUUUUACCAUGGUGUGAUCAAGUCAGAUUUCUGUCUUACAGAACUGUAACAUAAUAAAUCUGUAUUGUUUAAGCUACUAAGUUUGAAGUAAUUUUACUAAAACUUGAAAGGAAUUUACAUUUUGCUUUUAAAGUUCUUAUUUUUGAAACUUUAGACAGAGAUCAACAAAUCCUCAACAAGAGAUAGCUCAAUUUUUACCUUUGCAAAAGGAAUUAUGUUACAUAUCUAUGAGAAUGAAUAACUACAGCACAGAAAAAUACUCAUAAGUAAUAUAUUAUUUGAAAUCAGGAGUCUAAUAAGAGAAAAUGCAAAUGUACCCUUUUCUAUAAGAUUUAGAUAAAUUACAUGAAAAAAUAUGUGUGAUAAGAGGUAUGUGUUCUGAGUUAAUACAUAUAAAAUCUGAAAAAAUUGCAACAGGAACAAUAAAUAUGGAAAUUGAAAUCACAAAAAAAUCAAUGAAUUUGAAGACCAUUUGGAGAAAUGCUUAUAUCAUCCUAAGAUUAAUUUAUUCUAACCAUGCACCAGUGAUAGUAUUAUAAGAAGAAAUAAAUUCAUUAUCAUUUUUUACUGUAUUUAUUUUUUAAGACAGAGAUUGGUACUAAUUCAGUAAUGGAAAACUAAUUGUAAAAUUUGUACUGUGGUAAAUUUGGAAAACAAGGCAUGGCACAGAAAGAGUAUAUAAUAAAAUCAUUUGGCAUAAAGGCCAUUUGAAAUGGAUUAAUUAUGGUGAUGAAACAUGUCAUCAUUUCCUGGACAAGUAGGGAAGAUAGGCAAUGAGAAGGCUAUGGAGGAGAGAGAAGAGAGUAGAGUCCAUAGAGUGACAGUCUUCAACAGGUUAAAAACCUGUACGAGUUCAGGUCUUGAACAAGCGAUAUUGGAUGAAAUGGGAGGUAGAGAGGACCAAAGAGUAGGAUUUUUUUUUUUUUUAAUAUUGAGAAACAUUUGCUGUCUAAAAUAGAGAAGAAAUGUUAUUAACAUGCAUGGUGGUCAAGAAACUGACAGGUAAGAUUUGAAAGAGUUACCAGUUUGAGGUAAGCACAAUAGAGAAUAACGACAGAGUUUAUAAUGGAGAGAAUGUCUUUGAAAGCCAAAAGCAAAAGUUGUCUUAAUAGAGAAAGAAACCAAACAAAGGUUUGAAAAAGCAUUUGAAUGGAAAGUUUGGUGUAGACGUACGUUAUGAACCAUAAACUGUCAAAGUUUAUUGGUGAUGCUUGCUGGUUUAUUUACUUGUUGGUUUUCAGAAGGAAAGAACUAUAAUAGACUGAUAACUACAAAUUAACUGAAAUUGUAUAUACCCCGCCUCCUCAUGAUUAGGCAAGUGAAGAUGGGGUGAGCAAAAUAGUAGCAACCCAUUGAAAGGGCUGUUGAAGGGGUUAUAUUUUCCAGACAUAUCAGGAGUUCAAGUUGUUAUUAAAAAUGCAAAAAGAGUUUGCUAAUCAGAACAUAAGCAUUCAAUAUCUAUCACUAUCAAGUUGUGAGAUAAGGGAUAGGUAAUUGAUUCUGUUGGAAAAGCAGAGUCAUAUAAUGAUGACAGUCUGAUAAUACCUCUGUGACUUGAAAGUGACAGAAGUAAACAGGAACAUGAAGCAAAGAGUUUUAGUUCUGAUAGUCUCUUUGAGGAGGAGGAAUAAUGGCACUAUUGUCAUUUUUUGAAUAUUUCCCCUAGUAUUUUUAGGGAUUUCACAAAUCGUUCUAAUGCCUUAAAGGACUACCACUCUGGAACAUCGCUCAAAGCAAUGUUCUUGUGAGGAUUAGGCUUAAUGAAAAGUCCUGUAAUGCUUGGACACAUGGAAAGCUGACCAGUAUUAGAUAAAACAAAAUUGUUAUAGUUGGGAAUUAUUACUAUACGUAUUUUCAUCAUCAUUUUGCAACAUUUAUAAUUUUUUCUUAAUGAAAUAUGUUGAUUUUUCAGUGUUUUUAAAGUAAAAUUGUAUUACAUUUAAAAAAUUAAUGGAGAACUAUUCUGUUGAAGACAAUGAAUGCAUAUUAUGCUUAACAUGUUAAUAUGUGUUUCACAUUAUUUAUAGAUUUUGUCUACUGCAUUGAAAUUUGCUAGAAUGCUGCAUAUGUAGAGCUUAAUGUAAUCACUUCCUAACUAUAAUCUCUGGAGCCAACCCAGUUACAAUAAAAUUAACUCU
rnacentral:lncRNA from 1 species